CAUGGAGUUUGAUCCUGGCUCAGGACGAACGCUUGCGGCGUGCCUAAGAAAUGCAAGUCGAACGGGGACUUCGGUCCUAGUGGCGAACGGUCGCGUAACACGUAAGCAACCUGCCCUGAAGAGGGGGACAACAUCCCGAAAGGGGUGCUAAUACCGCAUGUGGUCACGAGUCGGCAUCGACUUGUGUCUAAAGAUUUAUCGCUUCAGGAUGGGCUUGCGGCCUAUCAGGUAGUUGGUGGGGUAAUGGCCUACCAAGCCGACGACGGGUAGCUGGUCUGAGAGGACGAUCAGCCGGAUUGGGACUGAGAUACGGCCAGACUCCGUACGGGGGGCAGCAAUUAGGAAUCUUGCGCAAUGGGGGAAACCCUGACGCAGCGACGUCGCGUGAAGGAUGAAGGCCCCU
rnacentral:rRNA from 1 species